CUCACUAUAUACGCUUCUAUCAUCUCAUUAUUUCUGUGACGAGAGAAGUGAAAAACCUGUUUUGAAGAAGAAAUAGAGAAAAAUGGGUGGAGGAAUGGAAGCUAACAAGAACAAGUGGAUCGAGGAUUGGGGGGCGGCUAGGGAGAAUCUGGAGCACAACUUCAGGUGGAACCGCCGCAACUUCGCCCUCGUUGGCCUCUUCGGAGUCGCCCUACCUAUCUUGAUCUACAAGGGCAUCGUCAAAGAAUUCCAUAUGCAAGAUGAAGAUUGGGGCAGACCACACAGGAAAUUCUUGUGAGUCUCUCUGUCCGGAGCAUUAUGUAAUAAUUUUGGGAGAACUGGAAGUGAUUUUAUUUCAGAUCCUAUCAACUGGUUGAAUUUUGAGUUUAUUAACUUUUAAUAAUCUUAACUUGGUUUCAAAGCCUGGCUGUGCUUGACUAUCUUAGCUUCAAUUCUUUUAUAUUACAAGUACACUGUAUUUAAACUUGCUUAAUAUCUCUACCUUCUAGUUGUGUGCUCUCUCUCAUA